GUUUGACGUUAGCGACAGAAGAAAGCACCGGCUAACUCCGUGCCAGCAGCCGCGGUAAUACGGAGGGUGCGAGCGUUAAUCGGAAUUACUGGGCGUAAAGCGCAUGCAGGUGGUUUGUUUAAGUCAGAUGUGAAAGACCCGGGGCUCAACCUCGGAAUUGCAUUUGUAAACUAGGCAGACUAGAGUACUGUAGAGGGGGGUAGGAAUUUCAGGUGUAGCGGUGAAAUAGCGUAGAGAUCUGAAGGAAUACCGGUGGCGAAGGCGGCCCCCUCGGACAGAUACUGACACUCAGAUGCGAAAGCGUGGGGAGCAAACAGGAUUAGAUACCCUGGUAG
rnacentral:rRNA from 1 species